CGUAUUUACCCAAAAAUACGGCGCGGAUCAAUGCGCAGGGGCUUUUUUUUUUUUCCUUGCUAUUUUUUUUUUUUUUUAACUCUCCCACCCCCUUCUCUCUGCUGAUCCCCGCGACCUGCGUUUUCCUGGGGGUCCGGAACUCUGGACCCAAGGCGCCGGCCACCCCCUCAGGACGGCUCAUAUCUCAUCAGAGAACGCCCCAUGCCCAUGUCCACCCACAAGCAGAUGGCCUCCCCCUAACUAUGAGGAUUUUUUCAUGGGGUGAAAAUGCCAGUCUCCGAAGCCAGGGUUCCCGGACCCCCGGGGCCGAGCCGGGCGCGGGAGCCCCACAGGGGCGGGGAGGCCGGCCGAGCUUGAAGAAGUGGAGGAGAGAUCUACAGAACUUAAGUGGGGCGUCCCUAUCCCGUUUUCCUGCUCACCCUCCUUUGCCCCCAACUCCAUCUCUGCGACACCGUCCCCCCCAAAAAGAAGUCACUCCUUGGUUCUGUCUUCCAGAGAGCCAGGGUGAGAGCGGGCAAGGCGAGAGAGCGACCUCGGUCGUGGGCAAGUAGCUUGUUUUUACGUCCUUCAAUAAAAUUUUUAUGAGGAUCAUU